AUCAAGAUGGCGCUGAGUCGGAAGGACGUUAAGCUUCCUGAGAAUUACCCGCGGCAUUUGUUGCUCGAAAAGCACGCGGAAUUUAUCUGCAAAUAUGGAAAUGAUCCAAAUGAUUAUGAGUACGCAAUGUCAGAGUUUCUUAGGAUGAACGGUGUGUACUGGGGCUGCUCUGCUAUGCAUCUAAUGGGUAAAUUGGAUUCCAUGGAUAAACAAGAGAUAAUUCAGUUUCUCAAAGAUUGCCAGGAUGAAAAUGGUGGUUUUAGACCUGUUCAAGGACAUGACCCCCACUUACUCAAUACCCUGUCAGCUGUACAGAUCGCCGUGAUAUUUGAUUGCUUGGAGGAGAUCGACUCUGAGAAGGUGGUGGACUACGUGCUCAGCUUGAGGCUGGAGAACGGCAGCUUUAUGGGGGACAAGUUUGGGGAGGUCGACAAUAGAUUUACAUUCUGUGCAGUAGCCUGCCUUGCUCUUCUAGGUAAAUUGUCUCGCCUGGACGUUGAUAAAACUGCCGGGUUUGUUAAAGCGUGUUUAAAUUUUGAUGGAGGUUUUGGAUCCAGGCCUGGGGCGGAGUCACACGCAGGGUUGAUAUAUACCUGUGUUGGAACACUAGCAAUUACAGGACAUCUACAUUAUAUAGAUGCUGACCGACUUGGCUGGUGGUUGGCUGAGAGACAACUAGAUUCAGGGGGUUUGAAUGGGAGACCUGAAAAGUUACCUGAUGUCUGCUACUCUUGGUGGGUCCUUGCCAGCCUUGCUAUUCUCAAUAGAUUGCAUUGGAUAGAUAAAGAGAAAUUAAAAGAUUUUAUGCUUGCCUGUCAGGACCCUGAGACAGGAGGAUUCGCUGACCGGCCUGGAGAUCUUCCUGAUCCAUUCCACACCCUGUUCGGAGUAGCCGGUCUGUCCUUGUUGGGGGAGCCGGGGGUAGGCCAGGUCAACCCGGUGUUCUGUAUGCCCCAGCAGGUCCUGGAUAGAAUAGGAGUCAAAUAAUACAACAUUAUAGUAAAUGUAAUGUAUUUGAAAACUGUGCUGUGUUAUAUCUUGAAAUUAUUAAAUAUCAUAAAAUGUGACGAACUGUCGGUGAUUAACAACAUUAUUGCUGAUCUUACUCUCAGUGAUUCAAAAAAAUAACCUGCGUGACCAGUCACUGUCCUCCUUAAAUAGUUCCAUGGUGUCAUCGGUUUCAAUGAUAAAAGUGAAGUAUACAAGAAAUAUUUAUUUUUCUACAAACUAUUGAUUAUUUCUUAUUCAUGAUCUGUUUGUUUUCAGA
rnacentral:misc_RNA from 1 species